GAUGAACGCUAGCUACAGGCUUAACACAUGCAAGUCGCGGGGCAGCAUGGGGGUUGCUUGCAAUCCCCGAUGGCGACCGGCGCACGGGUGAGUAACGCGUAUCCAACCUGCCCUUCACCACGGGAUAACCCGGCGAAAGUCGGACUAAUACCGUAUGUUGUCCAUUGACGGCAUCCGAUUUGGACGAAAGGUUUGGCGGUGAAGGAUGGGGAUGCGUCCGAUUAGCUGGACGGCGGGGUGACGGCCCACCGUGGCGACGAUCGGUAGGGGGUCUGAGAGGAAGGUCCCCCACACUGGAACUGAGACACGGUCCAGACUCCUACGGGAGGCAGCAGUGAGGAAUAUUGGUCAAUGGGCGUAAGCCUGAACCAGCCAAGUAGCGUGCAGGAUGACGGCCCUAUGGGUUGUAAACUGCUUUUAUGCGGGGAUAAAGUGGCCCACGUGUGGGUUUUUGCAGGUACCGCAUGAAUAAGGACCGGCUAAUUCCGUG
rnacentral:rRNA from 1 species